rnacentral:misc_RNA from 1 species
AAGUCGUAACAAGGUCUCCGUUGGUGAACCAGCGGAGGGAUCAUUACCGAGUCUCGUGCUCACCCAAACCACUGUGAACCUACCCGUUGCUUCGGCGUCAUCCCGGACGGGACCCCCCUGGGGGUCGCGGACGGCGGCGCCGGGGACCCCAAAACUCUGCAUUUGAAUGGUAUCUCGGAAAAACAUACAAGCAAAUAAAACUUUCAGCAACGGAUCUCUUGGCUCUGGC